GAUGAACGCUGGCGGCGUGCCUAAUACAUGCAAGUCGAGCGAACAGACGAGGAGCUUGCUCCUCUGACGUUAGCGGCGGACGGGUGAGUAACACGUGGAUAACCUACCUAUAAGACUGGGAUAACUUCGGGAAACCGGAGCUAAUACCGGAUAAUAUAUUGAACCGCAUGGUUCAAUAGUGAAAGACGGUUUUGCUGUCACUUAUAGAUGGAUCCGCGCCGCAUUAGCUAGUUGGUAAGGUAACGGCUUACCAAGGCAACGAUGCGUAGCCGACCUGAGAGGGUGAUCGGCCACACUGGCACUGAGCCACGGUCCAGACUCCUACGGGAGGCAGCAGUAGGGAAUCUUCCGCAAUGGGCGAAAGCCUGCCGGAGCAACGACGCGUGAGUGAUGAAGGUCUUCGGAUCGUAAAACUCUGUUAUUAGGGAAGAACAAAUGUGUAAGUAACUAUGCACGUCUUGACGGUACCUAAUCAGAAAGCCACGGCUAACUACGUG
rnacentral:rRNA from 1 species